GGCGUGACAUACGGCUCAGUAACACGUAGUCAACAUGCCCAGGGGACGUGGAUAACCUCGGGAAACUGAAGAUAAACCGCGAUAGGCCAAAGCUUCAGGAAUGGGCCAUGGCUGAAAUCUAUNACGGCCCCUGGAUUGGACUGCGGCCGAUCAGGCUGUUGGUGAGGUAAUGGCCCACCAAACCUGUAACCGGUACGGGCUUUGAUAGAAGGAGCCCGGAGAUGGGCACUGAGACAAGGGCCCAGGACCUAUGGGGCGCAGCAGGCGCGAAACCUCUGCAAUAGGCGAAAGCCUGACAGGGUUACUCUGAGUGAUGUCCGCUAAGGGCAUCUUUUGGCACCUCUAAAAAUGGUGCAGAAUAAGGGGUGGGCAAGUCUGGUGUCAGCCGCCGCGGUAAUACCAGCACCCCGAGUGGUCGGGACGAUUAUUGGGCCUAAAGCAUCCG
rnacentral:rRNA from 1 species